GACGGUAGCCGCGGAGAGCCACCGCUCCGCCAGCGCCGAGCCAGGUGCCGGGGGCAGGGGGAGGCGCGGCGGGGCGGCGAGGGACGCCCUCUUCCUUCCCGAGCCCGGUCGACUGCCCAGCUCACCUUGUGGCUCUGUGAGAAUUGUCUCUAGAAUGCAGCAAACCAUGAGGUGGCAGUUCCAGGUGCACUGAAAAAAUGAGAAGAUGGCUGCAGCAGUUCCAGCUAUCACAAUCUCACACCAACAUCCAGGCUAUGCUGCCUCUCCAGGUGAGAGGACUUGAGAAUCUGUAGAGAAAGGAGCCUUUGCAGGUGUGGUGCUGAAGAACCAUUCACCAGACAGGGAGAGAAUAACAGCAUGAGCACGGGCAUUUCUGAACCUGCAGAAAUUCUUACCAAAAGGACUUGACUGCCCAUUGGCUGUAGCGACUGGGAAAUAAGGAUGAGUAAGAGUCAUCUCUUGCCUUUAUACAAACUGGAAGCCUUUCUUUAGUCACUUUAUCA